rnacentral:rRNA from 1 species
AAUGCUUAGGAAUCUGCCUAUUAGUGGGGGACAACGUUCCGAAAGGAACGCUAAUACCGCAUACGCCCUAAGGGGGAAAGCAGGGGAUCUUCGGACCUUGCGCUAAUAGAUGAGCCUAAGUCAGAUUAGCUAGUUGGUGGGGUAAAGGCUCACCAAGGCGACGAUCCGUAACUGGUCUGAGAGGAUGAUCAGUCACACUGGAACUGAGACACGGUCCAGACCCCUACGGGAGGCAGCAGUGGGGAAUAUCGGACAAUGGGCGAAAGCCUGAUCCAGCCAUGCCGCGUGUGUGAAGAAGGUCUUCGGAUUGUAAAGCACUUUAAGUUGGGAGGAAGGGCAUUAACCUAAUACGUUAGUGUUUUGACGUUACCGACAGAAUAAGCACCGGCUAACUUCGUGCCAGCAGCCGCGGUAAUACGAAGGGUGCAAGCGUUAAUCGGAAUUACUGGGCGUAAAGCGCGCGUAGGUGGUUCAGCAAGUUGGAUGUGAAAGCCCCGGGCUCAACCUGGGAACUGCAUCCAAAACUACUGGGCUAGAGUACGGUAGAGGGUGGUGGAAUUUCCUGUGUAGCGGUGAAAUGCGUAGAUAUAGGAAGG